UACGUAGGGCGCAAGCGUUGUCCGGAAUUAUUGGGCGUAAAGAGCUCGUAGGCGGUUUGUCGCGUCUGCUGUGAAAACCUAAGGCUCAACCUUGGGCUUGCAGUGGGUACGGGCAGACUAGAGUGCGGUAGGGGUGACUGGAAUUCCUGGUGUAGCGGUGGAAUGCGCAGAUAUCAGGAGGAACACCGAUGGCGAAGGCAGGUCACUGGGCCGCAACUGACGCUGAGGCGCGGAAAGCUAGGGGAGCAAACGGG
rnacentral:rRNA from 1 species